rnacentral:rRNA from 1 species
GACGAACCGUCCAAACGUUAUUCGGAAUCACUGGGCUUACAGAGUUCGUAGGCGGUCUGGUAAGUUAGAUGUGAAAUCCCUCAGCUCAACUGAGGAACUGCGUUUGAUACUGCCAGACUCGAGGGAGAUAGAGGAAAGCGGAACUGAUGGUGGAGCGGUGAAAUGCGUUGAUAUCAUCAGGAACACCGGUGGCGAAGGCGGCUUUCUGGGUCUCUUCUGACGCUGAGGAACGAAAGCUAGGGUAGCGAACGGG